rnacentral:lncRNA from 1 species
AAAAAAAAAAGAAGAGGAGGAAUUGUAUUCUGGAAGUAUACUUAAGAAACUCUAUGGAGAGGUCCACGUGGCAAGGAACUGAGCCCUCCUGCUACGAGCCAGUGAGGAACUGAACCCUCCAACUACCAACCACGUGGGGCAGCCAUCUUGGAAACAGAUCCUCCUGCCCCGGUUAAGACUUCAGAUGACUACAGCCAAUCUCUUGACUGAAACCUCAUAAGACUCUUGAACUAGAACCAACUGACUCCCAAAACUGUGUAAGGUGAUGUCCACUGGUCACUUAUGUGUACCCUCUCUGUCCCGAUAUGGCUCCAGGACACUGACAUCAGAUGAUAUUUCCAAGGUCCAACUCUCCUCCACAGCCUGCCAAAGCUGGUCAAAAAGAGGAGUCACUUCCCUCAAGGAUGAACUGUAAAGGAAUGCCUGCCACUUAGAACACGGCCCAAGUUCCUGAGCACAGCUUUCGAGGCUCUCACCACCUGACCCCCGUAAACCUGGCCAGCCACAUCCUCAUGCCUCCUUUCCUGCAUCACCUGCUCCAGCGAACUAAAGCAGCAAGGUGCCCUGAAGGUCUCCACCCAUCUCUGAACCCCCCUAUUUCUGCUAAGCCAUUAUCUUUCUCCUGCACUUAACACAACUGAGGGGCUCAAAGACAGAGCCAUAGUCUAUAAACCCUGUGAAAUUUCACCAUGCAACUUUUUGAAAAUCCUUGUCAGACAAUUCCAAAUAGACGCUAGCCAUCCAAUUGUGUCCCAUGCACCCGUGCAAAUUUAAUAAACAGAU